CUCUGACGUCACUUCCGGAUGACCGCCCGCUGCAGAUACUUUUAUUUUAGGAAAAGUGUUGGGGUUUUUUGAACGACGGAAAACUACAGGACAGGUUGAACAGGUGACGAGGUGUCAGGUUUCAGCUUUGUCUAUUGGUCGCUUCUGACAAACUGUAUGCGGAAGGACAACAAAAGCGCAGAAACAUUUGACUUUUAAGUACUCAACAACGCAGAAGGGGUGCAGUAAUGGCACCGAAGUAUGAUGGGUUGUCCCACUGUAAGCUGGCUCUGGUGUUUGCUGUGCUGAUGGACCUGCUCGGUGUGAUAUCCCUGCUGCUGGGGGUCUUUGCCCCACUGGAGAUCAAAGGUCAAGACUUUGGGGAUCUGCUGGUGUACUCGGGAGCUCUGCUGGUGCUGUUUUCCCUAGCAGGCUGGGUCAUGUGGUACAGUGGAAACAUUGAGGGUCUAACCUCCAAAAUAGAGCUUGGUGGAGUUGUGGGUGGAGCUGUGGACAGACUUGCCCGCAACCUGAGUCGCAGGAUACGGCUGCCCAGGACCCAAAGCAGUCCAUCGUAGGUAGAGAAGCCUCACUGGACCAAAGACUAACUGACUUGGGCUGUCCUUAUUUAGGCAGCAGGCCAGACUGCCUGAGGCAAAGGAGUGUCAUUACUGUUUGACUCUUUACAAAUACUUCCUUUGCUGACACCACCUCAUUUACUUAAAAACGAUCUGUUGUGCUAUUUUCUAUAAGGAAAACUAUGUUUGUUUCAUCUUUACUUAAUAUAUAAAAGGAAUAAUUUAUAGAGGUUGAAGACAUGAAUCUGCAACAUUGUCUCACAGUGCUAAUUGAAAAUUAUUCAUUCAUUUACUUGUGUCAUAUUGCUGGACCAGAUUAUGGCAGCAGAAUCACUCAAAGCUAAGGAUUGUACAUUAUUGUUAUUAAAAUGCCUUCAGCUGUUAAUCAUAUUUGCACAAGGUUGAGUCAAAACAUAAUUUCAAAGAAGGAUACAGAGCCGCUACGACAUCAACAUGUGUGCACAAACUGCAUAUAAAUACUGCAAAGGACAUUUGAAAGAUUUUAUCUCCCUUAUUUUACAAGGAAAACAAGAACAGAAAUCCAAACAUAACUGAAAUUAAAAGAAUUGCAUAACAUCCAAAGGAAGACGUCAAGCAAA